CUUGCUUUAUGAUGGACUGAAAGCAAUGGAAGGUCCCACGGUAGAGAGGUUUCUCUACAUUUUGAACUUGUAGUCGAACCUAUAAAAAGUUGUAUGAGAUACUGAUGUGUAUGACAAGAGCAGCAUAACUGGUAAACUAGUGACUUGUACGUAUAUGGAGAUUUGCUAUAGAAAUGUAUAUGCAAGAGCAAAGGCUGGACACUGGAAUGCCAUAUGUGGCAAAAUCAUUUAAAAACAUUCUGGAAGUGCUUAGAAUUAUUUUUUUUUGGGGGGGAGGCAAAAAAAAAUUGAAGGGAGAAGGGUUAUUAACUUAUUGUGAAAAUUAGAAAACUGGUACAUGGAAAUACAACAGGGUAUACUCUUUUCUAGAAUUUCAGAUAAUUUUCCCAUAGUGACUACAAGAAGUGCUUCCUUUAGCUGCCAAGAAUAUUUCUGUCCACACUAAGCAAUAUCUGUACAAACCUGAUAGCAUUUUAUAAGAAAGUAUUUACAAGUCAAGCAUGAAAUAGGGAUGAUUUAAAAGGUUGGAAACUUUCAACAACAACACAUCUAGUGUUUCUGGCUACUGGACUUGGGACCCUUCACUGAGAUCAGAUUUUUUUUUCAGAGGUUAGAGGGGAAGAGACUUAAAAUAUCUUACAGUUGCUUAAGGAAAGGUAUAAAAAGCCACUCCUCCCUUUAAAUCUUAGUCUGUUUUUUUAACUUGCUGAAAGCAAACAAUUUCUGAGGGUGUGGCUGUUUCAAACCUUUAAUGUUUGUAAUAAGUUAACUUUUCCAAAACUGACACAGCAUGGCCUGCUGGACAGAUGAUGCUACUGUUUCUGAUGACAUUAGGAGACAGUCACAUUUUCUAGGUGUUUUUGUAACCUUUAAUGUGAAAGUUCAAUUCAGGUCUUCCUCCUAAUUUGCCUUAAGCACACUUCAACAAACAAAAAGGCUCAAAGCUACUUAGUUCAUCCAAAACCCUGCACUGCAGUAAACUCAGUAAGUUGGUUUCGCUGGAGUGGUGAAGUUAGACAUCUGCCUUUCAUCUCCAGCUUGGAGGGCUGCAAUAUUCCUGAGAAGAUGCUUAUCAACCGUUUACUGCUGCUGCAACUCCAGGACAAAAAAAGUUCAAGACUCUUUAUUUUGAACAAAAGAAGGGAUUAUUAGGUCUCUGUGAGGAAUUCCUGACUUUAAAUUCUUUAUCCCUGUCUGCCUAAAGUAAUAACAGCACCGACACCACCACAAUGAAAUAAGAUGAUGUGGGUCUAGAAACAAUCUGGGGACGUGGUUUAUCAGAAGUCCCUAUUAAGGUUAGUUUUCUUCAAGGGAAAAAAAAUUAGUGUCAGUAUUUUUGACAUUACUACAAUAUGUCAUUUCAUGUUUUGUAAAUCUAAACUUUAGUUUUUAGUGUCUUUUUAGCAUGCACAUUAGUGUACAUUAGCCAUACUCUGAGGCUGAGAUCACCUUGAGUCUUCCAAGAUGGAAAAGGGUUUUAAAACAUCUUAGAAUUGAGAGUAGGCUUAGAGUAAAAUUCAAAGAAAAUAAAUCAUUUUCUUAUUCAAAGUCAGGGGGGAAGGUGUAGUGGGGUUUUGUAAAACUGCUCAAGAAGUAGACCCAUAAGCAAAGUCAUACACCUUAAGUCAGAACUGCACAAAAUGUAGGUCUUACUCCAUUUAUGGUUUUAUUGCUAUUAUUUCAAACCCCAGCUGUGAAAUCAGGGGACUUUCAAAUGUAUAAGCUUUGGAAUAAUUACAGCUUAGGAACCUUUUUACUUUUGUGUGCAGUUAUCUUUAGCAGUUUAGAAUUAUUAUAGAUAUUCCAGAUAGAUACAGAUAUUCUAGAUAUAGUUAUUCUGUAUAUAGGCUGAGUUUCCUAUUGGCAUAGAGCUUCUACUAUUUUUAUCUAAAUUAUAUGUGAAAUAUUGACCAAUUAAAGUGUUGUUGUGGGAUUAAAUAUUCAGAAAGUUAACUACUGACACAUCAGGCCUAAGAAUGAAAAGCAACUCUGCUUUAAACAAUAAUGACCACAUUAGGGUACAAACUGGCACCAUAGUUACAAACUGCCAGAUGAGACAGUGAACCUGUAUGAAACUUUAUUGUUUUAAUACUAACUUCAAGUUGUAAUUUAGUGAGUAUACCUAUAGGAGGGAUGAAUCAAUUACAGAGGUUAACUGUCUAUUCUGUUAAUUGGCCAACAAUCAUUGUGUCUUUUCAUUUUGUUUCUGUCUUAUUUGAAACCACUGUUACUGAAGGUUUAAGUACAACAGUAACAUAUUGUAAUUUCACAUUGCUAAAAACUUGCACAGAGGUACUCAAGACUAAACAAACAAAAAACCCCUUCUAACAGUCCAAACAGUUAAUGUGUGAAAUAGAAUUGUUUGAGCAAUGAAAGUUUCUUCCAAGGACAUGUUGUGGAUAAGACCUCAACAACAGUUUGCCUGAGAUUCAGUUUUACAGCCACUGUGUGUGGAAGUGUAUAUAGUGAGAAAUGCAUACCAGAAAGAGGGUUCAGAAUAAGACUUUACAUUUUUAUUUUCAUUUUUAAAGGGAUAUUUAAACCCCGCUCCCUCCAUGUCAUAGUUGUAGAAGAGGGACAAAUCAGUUUAAAACUAAAAAGGAAAAAAAAAGCUUCAUAAGUCUUUCAGAGCUUUAUUUGAACUAUUACAUUUUGGAAUAAAUUAAGACUGAGAGAAACAGAAGUGUUCACCUGGGCUAUACUUACUAGGUAACUCUCCCGUGAUGAGGCUUAUCUCUCAUCUACAACAAAGUAACACUUUUGCUGUUAAUGAAGACAGCCCCUAGCUCAGAAAGUAAAGGCAGUUAAAAGCAAAAAAGCAAUUUUAUACAUCACAUCAACAAACCAGGGAUAAGAUGUUUGCCAGCUCUGAGAUCAGCUCGCUGGCGGGUUUCUCAGCCUGACCUGCAGGCUCCGGCUCUCCCUGUGUGUCCCACCAGCCCCCUCCCCCUUGUGGAACAUGAUCACUGGCAAAAAAAAAAAAAAAAAAAAAAAAAGCUUAAAAGUCAGGGUGGAAGUAAAAUUCUGGCUUAUCUAACCAGCUUUCCCACUGUUCAGUUAUAUUAAAACCUUAAAGUCUAAGGUGAUGUCCAACUAGUCCUUUAAACACUGCAGUACUAUAAAGAGAGUUAAUUCUUAACACAUAUACAUGUACAACAAGAUAUGCAUUUUUUCUUUCCUUUUUUUUUUUUUUUUAAAAGAAUGGUUAUAUGGUUAGUUUUCCCACAUAGGGGGUGACUACGCCAGCUAACAACACAAACAUUAGGGUUUUCGCUAACAAAGUGUAGAUAACUUUAUCCUUUCUAGUGGUAUGAAAGCAGUGUUCCACACUGGAUUUCAUAAAAAGGGUUAAAGUCAUCUGGAAACAAACUGCUUUGCUCUACUGUAUAGCAAGAUGCUUUGUCUUAAGCCAACACAUCUAUUUUGCAUUAAUACAUCUGCCAGAACUAGCAUGGGAGCCCCAGUUUUGCAGACAUUUAAAUGUUUGGUUUCAUGCACUAUAAGCUGUUCCACUUUAAAAACAAACAAAGAACCCCACACAUGCUUAACUUUAGCUUGAGCAUAAAAUUUUAGCAGUUUUGCUGGCUUCAGUGAAGUGACCCAUCACCAAAAGUUAAGCAUGUAAAACUGGGCAGGAUCGGGGGAGAGGAGACAGCUGUCCCUGUACCACCAGAAAAAAGCGUGCAAGCCUGGAUAAUACCAUUCCUGAAAAUAUUUACUCUAAUUACCCAAUUACUUAACAGUCAUUUUUUUAUAUUCUCAGAAACAUACAUAGAGUCUUUAACUAUUUGACCAGCUUGCACUUGACUGGCAAGGACUAAAAUCCACUUGCUAGUAAAAUCUGUUCUGUAUCGAUUCACCCACGUGGCUAGGAUAUGUAACGUGGUGAUGACCCCUGUAAUACUAUCAGCCCUUUGCAUAGCUAAAUUCAGUAAGGUAGAGGCGUUCCAAAUAUAGCCACGGCGGGUGGCAUGCUGUGUGCUGCAGUCAAGUGACCUGCUGUGUUAGCUUAGCAGUGAGCAUACUGGCAUCCCUUGGUCUAUUCUUCCAGUGAGAGACUUUAGAUAAGGCUGCCAAAAAGCGACUUUGGUCAUCAUCCUGCUCUGAAAAAUGGGCUUGGGUCCCUGGGAGUCCUGGCUGAAGGGCCUCAGGAGGUUUUAAAUCCUCCAAAAAUUGUAUCUUUGAACAGGUCUUAGCUACCCUUAGUAUGCAUAAUGCAUACAGUUAACAGAGAAUUGAUUUUAACUUGGAAAGUUACAGAAUAUGUACAUAACAACACCUCAGAGAUACAUAUGUAAUACCUAAAGGGAAGAAAAAGGCCCCAGACAAGCGUCAUGCCGUGGAUUUUUGCCCACUUACACCCUUUGGCUAGUGUAGCAAAUUAAUGCCUGAGGAGUAAGCAGCAGAGCUUGGGGGGGAAACGAAACAAAGCUUUCCAUCUAGUGACAAAGUAGGUUUGAGUUACAAGUGCGGGUAGAGGCAGUUCUAGCAGUUAGUGGUGAAGGGCUGCAGUAAAGCAAGCUUUGAAUAAAAUGAAGUUAAAUGUAAGAUCCUGUUUUUGAAUGCCAUGAUGUUACUGCACUGACGAACUUCUGGUUUGGGCCAACGUUUGGUCAUGUUACAGGGCUGAAUCAUACAUACAGGGAUCUGUUCGCUUCUGAAGGGCUGGAGGCUACAAGUCUACGAACCAUAGCUCGAGAGGCUUGCUCCAAGCUUUCAAUCACAGAUUUAUGCUGCUACGACAUCUGGGGAUUUUUUUUUUUUUCCUCCCCGGCUCCUUGGAAAAACAUCGUUUUCUACUUAGAGACAGAAAUAUUUUGUCAUCAACCCACCUUGACGGUGUCGAAGGGGUGUCCGACAAGCACUCCGGCAGCACCUGAAACAAAGCAGACAGUGUGGUUGUGACCAGCAGUCCCAGCUCCCUGCUGGGAUAGCAGCAUGCGGCGUGGCGGGCAGGCUGGGAGGCAGGAGACCUACGGUGUGGUCCCUCAAACCAGUACCAGAUGCCUUUAUGCUUCUGGCAAGCUUGGGAGCUCCAGGCAGGGACCGAGCUGUGCGACUACGGGGAGCGCCACGUCACACGGGAUGCUCGGCAGCGAGUCCUGGCCCCAGCCUAAGGCAAGCGCAGGGGGCAGCAAUUGCAAAUUGCCUCUAGAGAGAUUUAAUCAACGCCCUGCUCUGCAGAAGCAUAGAAAGCCUGGAAGCACCUCUAAAGGAAGAAAUAGCCAGCUCUCUGCCCGGUGCUUUUACAGAUGGGACAGUGGCACCUGCAGAAGGACCACCUUUGCCUUCCUAUAGCACUGAAGGAAUUUUUGGAAGGUCCCACCUGUGUUCUCAGGCCUGUGCUGGUGCUAUGAUAGCUUUCCAAGACAUGGUGGAACAAGUUUGUUUGCUUCUGGCCUCUCCUGGAGAAAGCAUGGGACACUUUGCAUCUGCAUGCGGUCAGAGAUAUGGAGAGCAGGGCUCCAGCAAGCGCUAAGCGGCUGGCGGACAUCUGACAAGAGCCUGACAUCCUUGCAGCGACUUCAUGCAGUGGACAUACAGCACACUGGUUGUGCCGAUGAGAAGAUUAGUUAUAGAGAGAUUGAGUGACUUGCCCAAAGUCACGCAAUAAAUCUGUGUCACUUCUUAAUCACUUGCAAUCAUCAUCUUCACCUCCCUUGGAAAUGCAUCAUCUUCCCUUCCCUGGGAAAUGUGUGCAGAAACGUUACAUCCUUCUAUCGGCUUUCCGGAGGCGAAAUCACCGAUCAUUUAUACCUGGCUAAAAGUGAUGCAGUGGCCAGUGCUCAGAGUGGCUUCCUUGCUGGUUUUGUUUGUCUUGCUAUAAAAGUCCUGCAGUAAAUAUAUGAGUCCUUGGAAUUGUUGGCUUUUCAUUAAUACCCAAGAUAAAGCACAAUGAGACAAUUUGAUCUGAAGCGCAGCUGGAGCCAAGAGGUCCCACCCCCUUUCCCACCCCCCAGUGCACAAGCCAAGUGCCAGGACCUGCAGCUCAUAGUGCUGGUGUCACUCUUCCCGCUCCUGCAAUUUGCAAACAGCCCGGUGACGUAGCGGGGCCGUGCUGUUUGAACAGCCUCCGCACUCAAGGGUUUUCUGAAAUGAGCUGGGAGGAGUUGGUGGGCAUGCAUAUGAGUGUGAUACUAGGCAGUGCAAGGGGAAGAGAAAAUGCAGUAAGCCAGGAACGUUUUCUCAGCAGAUCUGGAUCGAUGAGCUAGCAGGUGGUUGCAGAGGCGAGAGGACUGGCUUCUCUUUCACUUUGCAGGGUGGAUGGAGCUGGAAAUGUCCUGGGAGCGGUCUGGGGAUGCUCCUGCUGUUAUGUCUUACCUAAAAGAUGCCACUUACCAUUGCUUACCCACCUACAGCCUCCCCUAUCCACCUUUGCCUUUGCCCCAUACGCUUGUAGCAGCCCUCUAACCUGGGUGCUGCUUUGGCCGUGGUGCUGUUCCCUGUCUGGGUGGGCAGGCAGCUGCCUCAUCCUGUGAGCAGAGCAUUUCAUCCAUCACGCACUGUGCAGAAACUAAGCUCUUCCUCACUUUUCUACCGCUUCA